GAUUUGGAGUCCUCGUUCCACGCCUUCUCAUCAUCCUGAACACGGAGUUCUGGGACUCCGGCGGAGAAUCUAAACGUAAAGCAUCACCCACGGUCGUGAACUGUAGGCUCUCCUUGCAUCCGGGAUCUUCUUCUGGCCUUGGCGGAGCUGGGGAUGGUGUCGCCUAGCAGCCGCUGCCGCUUCGGCUUGCUUGGGACCAUUUGGCUGGACCCAGAGUCCGCGCGGAACCGCGAUAGGGAUCUGUCAGGGCCCGCGGCCGGGUCCAGCUUGGUGGUUGCGAUAGUGAGAGACCUCUGCUGGUUGCCAGGCUUGGUCUAGAGGUGGAGCACAGUGAAAGAAUUCAAAAUGCCACCUAAUAUAAACUGGAAAGAAAUAAUGAAAGUUGACCCAGAUGACCUGCCCCGUCAAGAAGAACUGGCAGAUAAUUUAUUGAUUUCCUUAUCCAAGGUGGAAGUAAAUGAGCUAAAAAGUGAAAAGCAAGAAAAUAUGAUACACCUUUUCAGAAUUACUCAGUCACUAAUGAAGGAAACGAGGUGCAGCAAGUUUGUAGCAGACUGUAGAGAAAACAAAUCUUGGAUGAAAGCUCAAGAAGUGGAGCUGGCUUUGGAAGAAGUAGAAAAAGCUGGAGAAGAACAAGCAAAAUUUGAAAAUCAAUUAAAAACUAAAGUAAUGAAACUGGAAAAUGAACUGGAGAUGGCUCAGCAGUCUGCAGGUGGACGAGAUACUCGGUUUUUACGUAAUGAAAUUCGCCAACUUGAAAAACAAUUAGAACAAAAAGAUAGAGAAUUGGAGGACAUGGAAAAGGAGUUGGAGAAAGAGAAGAAAGUUAAUGAGCAAUUGGCUCUUCGAAAUGAGGAGGCAGAAAAUGAAAACAGCAAAUUAAGAAGAGAGAACAAACGUCUAAAGAAAAAGAAUGAACAACUUUGUCAGGAUAUUAUUGACUACCAGAAACAAAUAGAUUCGCAAAAAGAAACACUUUUAUCAAGAAGAGGGGAAGACAGUGACUACCGAUCACAGUUGUCUAAAAAAAACUAUGAGCUUGUCCAAUAUCUUGAUGAAAUUCAGACUUUAACAGAAGCUAAUGAGAAAAUUGAAGUUCAGAAUCAAGAAAUGAGAAAAAAUUUAGAAGAGUCUGUACAGGAAAUGGAGAAGAUGACUGAUGAAUAUAAUAGAAUGAAAGCUAUUGUACAUCAGACAGAUAAUGUAAUAGAUCAGUUAAAAAAAGAAAACGAUCAUUAUCGACUUCAAGUGCAGGAGCUUACAGAUCUUCUGAAAUCAAAAAAUGAAGAAGAUGAUCCAAUUAUGGUAGCUGUCAAUGCAAAAGUAGAAGAAUGGAAGCUAAUUUUGUCUUCUAAAGAUGAUGAAAUUAUUGAGUAUCAGCAAAUGUUACAUAACCUAAGGGAGAAACUUAAGAAUGCUCAGCUUGAUGCUGAUAAAAGUAAUGUUAUGGCUCUACAGCAGGGUAUACAGGAACGAGACAGUCAAAUUAAGAUGCUCACCGAACAAGUAGAACAAUAUACAAAAGAAAUGGAAAAGAAUACUUGUAUUAUUGAAGAUUUGAAAAAUGAGCUCCAAAGAAACAAAGGUGCUUCAACCCUUUCUCAACAGACUCAUAUGAAAAUUCAGUCAAUGUUAGACAUUUUAAAAGAGAAAACUAAAGAGGCUGAGAGAACAGCUGAACUGGCUGAGGCUGAUGCUAGGGAAAAGGAUAAAGAAUUAGUUGAGGCUCUGAAGAGGUUAAAAGAUUAUGAAUCGGGAGUAUAUGGUUUAGAAGAUGCUGUCGUUGAAAUAAAGAAUUGUAAAAACCAAAUUAAAAUAAGAGAUCGAGAGAUUGAAAUAUUGACAAAGGAAAUCAAUAAGCUUGAAUUGAAGAUCAAUGAUUUCCUUGAUGAAAAUGAGGCACUUAGAGAGCGUGUGGGCCUUGAACCAAAGACAAUGAUUGAUUUAACUGAAUUUAGAAAUAGCAAACGCUUAAAACAGCAGCAGUACAGAGCUGAAAACCAGAUUCUUUUGAAAGAGAUUGAAAGUCUAGAGGAAGAACGACUUGAUCUGAAAAAAAAAAUUCGUCAAAUGGCUCAAGAAAGAGGAAAAAGAAGUGCAACUUCAGGAUUAACCACUGAGGACCUGAACCUAACUGAAAACAUUUCUCAAGGAGAUAGAAUAAGUGAAAGAAAAUUGGAUUUAUUGAGCCUCAAAAAUAUGAGUGAAGCACAAUCAAAGAUUAGGAGUUCAGAUAAAGCAGAGCUGCUGCAUAGGAGAUCAUCAUUCAAUACCCCACAGUCAGAUCAGAACGACACAGAAGAGAAUAUGACCAUAGGAUCAUUAUCAAGAAUGUUAUCUGAAAUUCACCAUAGUGUAGAAAGUGGAAUGCAUCCUUUUGUCCCUUUAACUAGACUUUCUUCAUCCAUGCAAGUUAAAGAGAAUUCAACUCCAGAAACUAUUACAAUAAGAGAGAUUUUUAAAGCACCAUGUCUGCAGUCUUCAAGAAGUCUAGAAUCGUUAGUCAGCACCUUUAGUAGGGAACGCCAUGAAGAAAUAAAUGACAUAUGCCUUUUUUCUGAUGACUGUAUGAAGAAGGUGUCAAGAAGCCAUCAAGCACUAGAGAAGACAAGUUUUGUACAAAAAAGCAGUUCAUUUUUUCACGGCUUAUCAACAGCUUCAGACGUAAUGCAGAAGUUAUCACUUAGGCAAAAAUCUGCAAUAUUUUGUCAACAAAUUCAUGAAAAUAGAGCUGACAUGGAUAAAUCACAAGUAGCAACAUUAGAAGAACAGGUUCAUUCCCAAAUAAAGUAUGCUGAUAUCAAUUUGAAAGAAGAUAUAAUAAAAAGUGAAGUACCCUUACAGACAGAGAUAUUGAAAAAUAAGCUUGAGGUUAAUCUUCCAGACCCUGUGUCUAUUACUGCACAAUCAAAAUUAUCUCAGAUAAAUCCUCUUGAAAAUCUUAUAGAACAGUUACGGAGAGAACUAGUAUUUCUUAGAUCUCAGAAUGAAAUCAUAGCACAGGAAUUAUUGAUCAAAGAAGCACAGAGUAGAAAUGCAGAAGUAGAGCUUGAACAUCGCAGAAGCCAGGCAGAACAGAAUGAAUUUCUUUCAAGAGAACUAAUUGAAAAAGAAAGAGAUUUAGAAAGAAGUAGGACAGUGAUAGCCAAAUUUCAGAAUAAAUUAAAAGAAUUAGUUGAAGAAAAUAAGCAACUUGAAGAAGGUAUGAAAGAAAUAUUGCAAGCAAUUAAGGAAAUGCAGAAAGAUCCUGAUGUUAAAGGAGGAGAAACAUCUUUAAUUAUCCCUAGCCUUGAAAGACUAGUUAAUGCUAUAGAAUCAAAGAAUGCAGAAGGAAUCUUUGAUGCCAGUCUGCAUUUGAAAGCCCAAGUUGAUCAGCUUACCGGAAGAAAUGAAGAAUUAAGGCAGGAGCUCAGGGAAUCUCGGAAAGAGGCUAUAAAUUAUUCACAGCAGUUGGCAAAAGCUAAUUUAAAGAUAGACCAUCUUGAAAAAGAAACUAGUCUUUUACGACAAUCAGAAGGAUCAAAUGUUGUUUUUAAAGGAAUUGACUUACCUGAUGGGAUAGCACCAUCUAGUGCCAGUAUCAUUAAUUCUCAGAAUGAAUAUUUAAUACAUUUGUUACAGGAGCUAGAAAAUAAAGAAAAAAAGUUAAAGAAUUUAGAAGAUUCUCUUGAAGAUUAUAACAGAAAAUUUGCUGUAAUUCGUCAUCAACAAAGUUUGUUGUAUAAAGAAUACCUAAGUGAAAAGGAGACCUGGAAAACAGAAUCUAAAACAAUAAAAGAGGAAAAGAGAAAACUUGAGGAUCAAGUCCAACAAGAUGCUAUAAAAGUAAAAGAAUAUAAUAAUUUGCUCAGUGCUCUUCAGAUGGAUUCGGAUGAAAUGAAAAAAAUAUUUGCAGAAAAUAGUAGGAAAAUUACUGUUUUGCAAGUGAAUGAAAAAUCACUUAUAAGGCAAUAUACAACCUUGGUAGAAUUGGAGCGACAACUUAGAAAAGAAAAUGAGAAACAAAAGAAUGAAUUGUUGUCAAUGGAGGCUGAAGUUUGUGAAAAAAUUGGGUGUUUGCAAAGAUUUAAGGAAAUGGCCAUUUUCAAGAUUGCAGCUCUCCAAAAAGUUGUAGAAAAUAGUGUUUCUUUGUCUGAACUAGAACUGGCUAAUAAACAAUACAAUGAACUGACUGCUAAGUACAGGGACAUCUUGCAAAAAGAUAAUAUGCUUGUUCAAAGAACAAGUAACUUGGAACACCUGGAGUGUGAAAACGUCUCCUUAAAAGAACAAGUGGAAUCUAUAAAUAAAGAACUGGAGAUUACCAAGGAAAAACUUCACACUAUUGAACAAGCCUGGGAACAAGAAACUAAAUUAGGUAAUGAAUCUAGCAUGGAUAAGGCAAAGAAAUCAAUAACCAACAGUGACAUUGUUUCCAUUUCAAAAAAAAUAACUAUGCUGGAAAUGAAGGAAUUAAAUGAAAGGCAGCGGGCUGAACAUUGUCAAAAAAUGUAUGAACACUUACGGACUUCAUUAAAGCAAAUGGAGGAACGUAAUUUUGAAUUGGAAACCAAAUUUGCUGAGCUUACCAAAAUCAAUUUGGAUGCACAGAAAGUGGAACAGAUGUUAAGAGAUGAAUUAGCUGAUAGUGUGAGCAAGGCAGUAAGUGAUGCUGAUAGGCAACGGAUUCUAGAAUUAGAGAAGAAUGAAAUGGAACUAAAAGUUGAAGUGUCAAAACUGAGAGAGAUUUCUGAUAUUGCCAGAAGGCAAGUUGAAAUUUUGAAUACACAACAACAAUCUAGGGAAAAGGAAGUAGAGUCCCUCAGAAUGCAACUGCUAGACUAUCAGGCACAGUCUGAUGAAAAGGCGCUCAUUGCCAAGUUGCACCAACAUAAUGUCUCUCUUCAACUGAGUGAGGCUACUGCUUUUGGUAAGUUGGAGUCAAUUACAUCUAAACUGCAGAAGAUGGAGGCCUACAACUUGCGCUUAGAGCAGAAACUUGAUGAAAAAGAACAGGCUCUCUAUUAUGCUCGUUUGGAGGGGAGAAACAGAGCAAAACAUCUGCGCCAAACAAUUCAGUCUCUACGACGACAGUUUAGUGGAGCUUUACCCUUGGCACAACAGGAAAAGUUCUCCAAAACAAUGAUUCAACUACAAAAUGACAAACUUAAGAUAAUGCAAGAAAUGAAAAAUUCUCAACAAGAACAUAGAAAUAUGGAGAACAAAACAUUGGAGAUGGAAUUAAAAUUAAAGGGCCUGGAAGAGUUAAUAAGCACUUUAAAGGAUACCAAAGGAGCCCAAAAGGUAAUCAACUGGCAUAUGAAAAUAGAAGAACUUCGUCUUCAAGAACUUAAACUAAAUCGGGAAUUAGUCAAGGAUAAAGAAGAAAUAAAAUAUUUGAAUAACAUAAUUUCUGAAUAUGAACGUACAAUCAGCAGUCUUGAAGAAGAAAUUGUGCAACAGAACAAGUUUCAUGAAGAAAGACAAAUGGCCUGGGAUCAAAGAGAAGUUGACCUGGAACGUCAACUAGACAUUUUUGACCGUCAGCAAAAUGAAAUACUAAAUGCGGCACAAAAGUUUGAAGAAGCUACAGGAUCAAUCCCUGACCCUAGUUUGCCCCUUCCAAAUCAACUUGAGGUCGCUCUAAGAAAAAUUAAGGAGAACAUUCGAAUAAUCCUAGAAACACGGGCAACUUGCAAAUCACUAGAAGAGAAACUAAAAGAGAAAGAAUCUGCUUUAAGGUUAGCAGAACAAAAUAUACUGUCAAGAGACAAAGUAAUCAAUGAACUGAGGCUUCGAUUGCCUGCCACUGCAGAAAGAGAAAAGCUCAUAGCUGAGCUAGGCAGAAAAGAGAUGGAACCAAAAUCUCACCACACGUUGAAAAUUGCUCAUCAAACCAUUGCAAACAUGCAAGCAAGGUUAAAUCAAAAAGAAGAAGUAUUAAAGAAGUAUCAACGUCUUCUAGAAAAAGCCAGAGAGGAGCAAAGAGAAAUUGUGAAGAAACAUGAGGAAGACCUUCAUAUUCUUCAUCACAGAUUAGAACUACAGGCUGAUAGUUCACUAAAUAAAUUCAAACAAACGGCUUGGGAUUUAAUGAAACAGUCUCCCACUCCAGUUCCUACAGACAAGCAUUUUAUUCGUCUGGCUGAGAUGGAACAGACAGUAGCAGAACAAGAUGACUCUCUCUCUUCACUCUUGGUCCAACUAAAGAAAGUAUCACAAGAUUUGGAAAGACAAAGAGAAAUCACUGAAUUAAAAGUAAAAGAAUUUGAAAAUAUCAAAUUACGGCUCCAAGAAAACCAUGAAGAUGAAAUGAAAAAAGUAAAAGCGGAAGUAGAGGAUUUAAAGUAUCUUCUGGACCAGUCACAAAAGGAGUCACAGUGUUUAAAAUCUGAACUUCAGGCUCAAAAAGAAGCAAAUUCAAGAGCUCCAACAACUACAAUGAGAAAUCUAGUAGAACGGCUAAAGAGCCAAUUAGCCUUAAAAGAGAAACAACAGAAAGCACUUAGUCGGGCACUUUUAGAACUCCGGGCAGAAAUGACAGCAGCUGCUGAAGAACGUAUUAUUUCUGCAACUUCUCAAAAAGAGGCCCAACUCAAUGUUCAACAAAUCGUUGAUCGACAUACUAGAGAGCUAAAGACACAAGUUGAAGAUUUAAAUGAAAAUCUUUUAAAAUUGAAAGAAGCACUCAAAACAAGUAAAAACAGAGAAAACUCACUAACUGAUAAUUUGAAUGACUUAAAUAAUGAACUGCAAAAGAAACAAAAAGCCUAUAAUAAAAUAUUUAGAGAGAAAGAGGAAAUUGAUCAAGAGAAUGAUGAACUGAAAAGGCAAAUUAAAAGACUAACCAGUGGAUUACAGGGCAAACCCCUGAUAGAUAACAAACAAAGUCUAAUUGAGGAACUCCAAAGGAAAGUUAAAAAACUAGAGAGCCAAUUAGAAGGAAAGGUGGAUGAAGUAGACCUAAAACCUAUGAAAGAAAAGAAUGCUAAAGAAGAAUUAAUUAGGUGGGAAGAAGGUAAAAAAUGGCAAGCCAAAAUAGAAGGAAUUCGAAACAAGUUAAAGGAGAAAGAGGGGGAAGUCUUUACUUUAACAAAGCAGUUGAAUACUUUGAAGGAUCUUUUUGCCAAAGCCGAUAAAGAGAAACUUACUUUGCAGAGGAAACUAAAAACAACUGGCAUGACUGUUGAUCAGGUUUUGGGAAUACGAGCUUUGGAGUCAGAAAAAGAAUUGGAAGAAUUAAAAAAGAGAAAUCUUGACUUAGAAAAUGAUAUAUUGUAUAUGAGGGAUUUCCAUUUGGGGCUUUAGUUACCCAGUGAUGCCGUGUACUUCAGGGAUUGCACACUUCUGCAGCCAAGCAAGCAAGAGGAGAGUAGAAAGAGGAAGAAAAAAACAACUUUUACCUUAUCCUCUUAGUAUCAUAGCUCUACCAAUUGGAGAAGAUUUCCCUCCCAAAAAAUAUUAGCUUCUGUGAGUUCCCAUUGCACCCUCUAUUACCACUGCUAUGGGAUGGCUUAAGGGUUGGGGCACGAAAGAACAGAUAGAAGAAAAAAAAAGUGAGGUGUUUUCAUAUUCUCUCUUGAGUGUUAAAAGAUUCCCUUUCUCUUUACUUGAACUAGAAUUAGAAAGUUUACCUGGAGCUCUCUCCGUCAGUGCAGGCACCCAUCUUCAGGUUUCAAAUAAUGUUGUCUUCAGGGCAGGCAGUAACAGAAUAAAAGAAAAGGUAAAUUCAUCACCUGUUUGCUGCUACUUUAAGUUCUGGUAUUCUAUUGUAAUCUGCCUUCUACUCCUUUGCAAAGUCCUCAAAUGGUUGCUCCAUGCAUUUGGGAGAGAGAAGAUUGAAUGUAUUUACUCCAUUGUACCUGGAACCAGACGCCCCUGCCCUGCAUCACCCCAUAUCGUUUCUUAGCAGAGCCUUUGAGAUUUUUGUGUGUGUGUGCUUUACAGUCUGUUUCCAAGUUAUAUCUUCUGAUAUAGUCAUGAUUGUGAAAAGCAAAAUAAAAUCAUGUGUUAACAUUUAAAACUUUUUUAAUUUUCUUCUAACAACAGCUAAAACUAUUUAAUCUUCUGUUUCGCUCAUUUCUUCCAAGGUAAACUUCAGUUGGUUUUACGUGAUUUGCUAUUUCUUCUUCUUUGCAUUUACAAAUGAUCUGUGAUCAUAUUACUGAUCUUUGUAAAGGGCUGAUAUCUACCUGCAACAUUUGGAUAUGACAAUAUUUAUCCUUUGUAAAUACACAUUUUCUAUUUAUCUUCAAAAAUUACCAUUCAUUAGUCUGUGUUAAUGUCUGUUUACUAUUGUGUCAUUAUGAAUGUGAUGUGAACAUACGAAGUUGAACUUAUUUAAACGAACACUCUCAUGAGCUUCUAAUCCACAUUCUUUCCUUUUCCUUCUAAGUUACCAUUUCUUAAAAAUCUUUUAGAAGUUUCCUUGAUAGGGAAAAAACAGAUUAUUGAGGAAUUUUUCUUUCUCUUGACAUCUGUUUAUAGUUACUCUCUUGUUCCAGCAGUGGAUAUUUCCCCUCCAUGUUUUUCUUUGCCUAAACAUAUGUUCAAAACAAAAUACUUUUAUUCUUUGCAGGUUUUACAAGGAUCAAAUUUUAGUUUUGAAACCUGCUAUUACUUUUAGAGGCUCUUUUUUUUUCCUCUAAUAAUGUGAGUUCAUGCGGGCUGAAGUAAUUGGAGGAUACUUUAUAGAAAAGAUUGAAUUUGUCUUCUCUCUGAACUCUAGUUUGAAUUUCUAAAUUUUAUGAAUCAUCUAGGUAUUAAAGAGGAGGGGCAUAUCAAAGAGGAGCACCCUAGCAGAGAUAAGAGGCAAGAGUAAAUGUUUCAUGUGUGGGUAAGAGUGGAUUUGUAUUUACCUAAGUAAAGAUAGACUCCUGGACAAUAAGGUUGGAUAGAUGUGGAGGUGGCAAACCAUGGAGGGUCUUGUGGGUCAAGCAGAUGUUUUUAGACUUGAAGUGUUAAAUUAUUAUCUGAAAUCAUUAAGAGUCUUUUUAGAUCCUUGAGCUUCUUGAGAAGACCAUGGAUAUUAUGCAGUUAUUAUAUAAUGUUUUAAAAUAGGCCCACCAAGCUCUUCCUCGAGAUUCUGUUGUAGAAGAUUUACAUUUACAAAAUAGAUACCUCCAAGAAAAACUUCAUGCUUUAGAAAAACAGUUUUCAAAGGAUACAUAUUCUAAGCCUU